GGGACUAGCGACAACAAUACAAACCCCACCCUAUCGUCUCCUUCAUGAAAAACCUGCAAUAACUUUAAGACCUAGGAGUUGAGAGCUGAAACGGGCCACAAUAAAAGACACCCACCCCAGUACAUGAUCUUCAACUUCCUUACAUCUAAGCAGCCAUGAGAGGACCCUAGAACCUAGAAUCUCUGUCGCUACCACUCCACCGACGGCCACACGCAAUAGUGGCUAUUCCUCGUCGUUGCUCCUUCUGUUCACCUACAUAACGAGACCCUAUCAGCCUUCUUCUCCUUAUUCAAAAAAAACUUGAAAAACCCUAGAGUUAAUUAAAGUGACAAUCCCGCACCCAUAGAUGCAUAAACGGACAGAAGGGGAGGGGAGCGGACUGACUUGGCUACUACAGUGAGAAAACAUCCAAGAUGUUUCAGUUUCUUCUAUUCCAUACCAUUUUGAAGAAGGAAAUUGCAACAGAAACAAAGUUGGAGUUUCUUCUAUCGGAGUUCAUUGUUUAAGCUUACUUGGGACUGAAUUCGUGCUUGUUUUAGUUUUCCGAUGCCGAUUUAUGAUCCCGUCUCGUCUUCAGCUUUUUUAUGCCAGUCCGAGGUCGCCGUCAAAUUUUGUCGCCGAUUCGAAGCACUUUCCGAGCUACUUUCAGAUUCAAGUUCUUCCAGGAAAACCCAACUAGCCCGUUGCUUGCCGAGGGUCUGUUCGUGUUCUGCCAU
rnacentral:lncRNA from 1 species